rnacentral:rRNA from 1 species
CACCGCGGUUAUACGAAAGACCCCAGUUGAUAGCUACGGCGUAAAGGGUGGUUAAGGAACCUAUAAAAUAAAGCCAAAAAUCUCCUAAGCCGUCAUACGCCCCAGAAGACAUGAAGACCAAACACGAAAGUAGCUUUACACAAAUCACUCCUGACCCCACGAAAGCUAAGAGA